AGCCAUGCAUGUCUAAGUAUAAGUUUUUUACUGCGAAACUGUGAAUGGCUCAUUAUAACAGUUAUUAUUUACUAGCCGGUCAGUUAUUCCUUGGAUACCCAUGGUAAUUCUAGAGCUAAUACAUGCUUACAGACCCAACUUCACGGAAGGGUUGCGCUUAUUAGAUACCGAACCAACCCCGCAAGGGAUUUAGUUGAUUCAUAGUGUUCUGGCGAAUCGACUUUUAGUCGAUGAGGCUAUCAAGUUUCUGACCUAUCAGCUUCCGACGGUAGGGUAUUGGCCUACCGUGGCUUUGACGGGUAACGGAGAAUUAGGGUUCGAUUCCGGAGAGGGAGCCUGAGAAACGGCUACCACAUCUAAGGAAGGCAGCAGGCGCGUAAAUUACCCAAUCCUGACACAGGGAGGUAGUGACAAGAAAUAUCAAUAUAAGACUUUUGUGUCUUGUAAUUGGGAUGAGCGGAACUUAAAUCGCUUCUCGAGUAUCAAUUGGAGGG
rnacentral:rRNA from 1 species